AUGUACAUGCUUAUAGCAUAACGUUAAUGCACCAGAUCCCAUUAGAACUAUGUAGUUAAGUGUGCUUGGGCUAGAGUAGUACUCAGAUGGGUGACCUCCUGGGAAGUCCUAGUAUUUUACAUG
rnacentral:rRNA from 1 species